CGAUCCAGAUCAAAUGCAAUGGACGACCCAGAUCAAAAGUGGAUGGAUAUAAAUAACCCCCAUCCACACUAAACCCUAACCCUAGCCGCCAGACCCCCUCGUUGGAGAAGAAGACUCGGGUGCUGGGAAGGAGACCGCCGCAACCCGCCGCCACACUAAAGCCCUUUUCGACUGCCAAAAAAGGUAAAAAAAAAAAAAUUUCUCGAAAUUCAAUUUUAAACACACUCAUGGCAAAAUCAAAGCAAAAAUACUGGUCUAUUGGCAGAAAAAUGUGGGCAAAGCCUGAAGGCACCGCCGCGGGGAAUUCCAUAAAAUGCCUCCGAUGAGGCCCAUCCUGAUUCCUGUUCUGUAUGAUUUUUCCACCGUUGUGAUCACCGUUUCCUUCUCUACAGGUUG
rnacentral:lncRNA from 1 species